CCCUUUAGACGGGGACAACAUUCCGAAAGGAGUGCUAAUACCGGAUGUGAUCAUCUUGCCGCAUGGCAGGAUGAAGAAAGAUGGCCUCUACAAGUAAGCUAUCGCUAAAGGAUGGGCCUGCGUCUGAUUAGCUAGUUGGUAGUGUAACGGACUACCAAGGCGAUGAUCAGUAGCCGGUCUGAGAGGAUGAACGGCCACAUUGGGACUGAGACACGGCCCAA
rnacentral:rRNA from 1 species